rnacentral:lncRNA from 1 species
UUCUGGUCAUUUUGGUGCUCCUAAUGAGUCACAAUUAACUAUCCUAAGCUGUACUAAGUACCUAUUUCAGAGCUGGACCACUAUUUCAAAAAUUCACUACCCAAGUUCCUUAAUUUGACUUAAAAGCUGAAAAAUUAACUUAGCCAUACACUGAAAAAUUCUGCAGAAUCUGGAUUCUCAUCCUAAAACAAUNAAACUUGCAACAUGAACCUAAUCAUACAAUUCAGAAAUGAUCUACUAUCAGCUCACAUCAAACACGGGCUAAUACUAUUAUUUUUACUUCACAUUUUCAUUGUUUCAAGCAAGAACCAUACAAUUUCAUACGAAUUUCACACAUGCAUUUCAGCUACCACCAUCACAAAUAACAAAAAUGAAAUCCAACUUCCCUUACCUCUACACGCACAAUCAAGUUCACAGGAAAGAUCAGUUAGCCCCUUGCAUCGUGAGAAACUUGGAAAUACCUAAAAUUCAUCAAUUGAUGAUAGAGAACAGUUUCUUAGAACCUAAGUUUGAGUGAGGAUUGAGGGAAAACACAGGGAAACUACAUGCAACAAAUCCCAUUGCAUGAUUGUAGCUUCCAAACUUGCAGAGAAGGAGAAAAUGACUUACUGGCGGAGGAAUUGGAAAAUUGAUCGGAUGGAAACAGAGCUUUCUACUUCGUGAUCGCUAGGGCAUUACCAAAACUGGAAUUCUCUGAUUCAGUGAGGAGUGGAUUUAGAGAGAAGACGGAGCUUAUAGGAGUUUAGCUUCUAGAGAGAGAAUGUUCUGUAAGAAUGAACUAGAAUUUGUAUAAAAAGUUUUUAUUUAUUUUUAAAGAAAUAAAAAUAAGAAAGUCAGUUCUUACAUAAAUAGUAAAGAUACAUAAUAAAAAUAAUUUAUAAUUGUGUUUACAUAUUGGAUUGAAUAUGUUUUAAAAGACAAUAACUAUCCG